CCUGACUGCUAUCGGAUUGAUACUAAGCCAUGCGAGUCUUUGCAGUAAUGCAAGGCAUACGGCUCAGUAACACGUAGUCAACUUACCCUAUGGACGAGGAUAAUCUCGGGAAACUGAGCAUAAUACUCGAUAGAUCAUAAUGCCUGGAAUGGUUUAUGGUUAAAAUGAUUCGUCGCCGUAGGAUGGGACUGCGGCCUAUCAGCUUGUUGGUGAGGUAAUGGCCCACCAAGGCGAUUACAGGUACGGGCUCUGAGAGGAGAAGCCCGGAGAUGGGUACUGAGACAAGGACCCAGGCCCUAUGGGGCGCAGCAGGCGAGAAAACUUUGCAAUGUGCGGAAGCACGACAAGGUUAAUCCGAGUGAUUUCUGCUAAAGAAAUCUUUUGCAAGUCAUAAAACCACUAGUGAAUAAGGGGUGGGCAAGUUCUGGUGUCAGCCGCCGCGGUAAAACCAGCACCUCAAGUGGUCAGGAUGAUUAUUGGGCCUAAAGCAUCCGUAGCCGGCUCUGUAAGUUUUCGGUUAAAUCCAUGUGCUCAACGCAUGGGCUGCCGAAAAUACUGCAUAGCUAGGGAGUGGGAGAGGUAGACGGUACUCGGUAGGAAGGGGUAAAAUCCUUUGAUCUACCGAUGACCACCUGUGGCGAAGGCGGUCUACCAGAACACGUUCGACGGUGAGGGAUGAAAGCUGGGGGAGCAAACCGGAUUAGAUACCCGGGUAGUCCCAGCUGUAAACGAUGCAGACUCGAUGAUGCAUUGGCAUAUAGCCAGUGCAGUGUCGCAGGGAAGCCGUUAAGUCUGCCGCCUGGGAAGUACGUACGCAAGUAUGAAACUUAAAGGAAUUGGCGGGGGAGCACCACAAGGGGUGAAGCCUGCGGUUC
rnacentral:rRNA from 1 species